AGUUUUGACAAACUAGAUUCGUCCGCAAGAUAAGACUGUUUUUAUUUACGUUUGAAGUUACGCCCUACGAUUCCAAAUCUUACAAAAAGGUUUUAAAACUUGUAAAGCUUCGUCGGCAGUUCAAUAUCGCCUUAAAAUAUUGCAGUGGCAUGUGCUACAUAACAAAAAAAAACAGGCUUAAUUAGAAGUGUGCGGAUUUCAGUGGGAUUUUGCAAACAAAACAACGCGGGUGAAGAAAUACUUUGACGGAGACUUUGAAAUACGGAUAGUUUUUGAACCCAACGCUUUUCCACUAUACAUAUAAACUGUUUCUGAAACGCUAUUGUCGAAAAGAAUGGAUUUGGAUUCCCUAGGAGCAGAUUAAGGUUGAUUGCAACAGGAGCCGACAUGGACAGAAGGGCAGAUCUUCCUUCAAAAGCGGAAUCUGCAUCACGAUCGUCUGGUAUCGCAUUAGUUUAAAAUUUACGAACUGCGGAAGGGCGGGACCAGGAAUGCAAAGGCCGAUCACAGAGAACCAGAGAACGGGCCCCGAACAAAUAUGUGUCGAAUCCGUGUGUAAGAAUUUGAAUCGUCGGCCAUUUUAGAACCGUUAAAAUUGGCCUAAAAACAGCACCAUCU